CUGAUGUUAGCGGCGGACGGGUGAGUAACACGUGGGUAACCUGCCUGUAAGACUGGGAUAACUCCGGGAAACCGGGGCUAAUACCGGAUGGUUGUCUGAACCGCAUGGUUCAGACAUAAAAGGUGGCUUCGGCUACCACUUACAGAUGGACCCGCGGCGCAUUAGCUAGUUGGUGAGGUAACGGCUCACCAAGGCGACGAUGCGUAGCCGACCUGAGAGGGUGAUCGGCCACACUGGGACUGAGACACGGCCCAGACUCCUACGGGA
rnacentral:rRNA from 1 species